GACGAACGCUGGCGGCGUGCCUAAUACAUGCAAGUAGAACGGAGUUUCGAACGGGUGAGUAUAGCGUAGGUGACUGCCUCAUAGCGGGGGGAUAAUAAUGGAAACGAUAGCUAAUACCGCAUACUGUGGGAUGGACCUGCGUUGUAUUGACUAGUUGGUGAGGUAAAGGCUCACCACGGAGAAGAUACAUAGCCGAGCUGGGAGGGAGAUCUGGCACACGGGGACUGAGGCACGGCCCAGGAUUCUACGGGAGGGAGCAAGAGGGAAUUUUCGGAAAUGGACGGAAGUCUGACCGCGGAACUCCGGGUGAGUGAAUAAGGGUUUCGGAGCGUAAAGCUAUGUUGUUAGAGAAGCGUUAACUAACCAGAAAGGGACGGCUAACUACGUGCCAGCAGCCGCGGUAAUAC
rnacentral:rRNA from 1 species